UGUCUAGAGGGAAAUUUUUAGCACUAAAUGCCCAUAUAAGAAGGUGGGAAAGAUCUAAAACCGACACCCUAACAUUACAAUUAAUAGAACUAGAGAAGCAAGAGCAAACAAACUAAAAACCUAGCAGGAGACAAGAAAUAACUAAGAUCAGAGCAGAACUGAAGGAGAUGGUGACACAAAAAACCCUUCAAACAAUCAAUGAAUCCA